rnacentral:rRNA from 1 species
UUUCACAGCCAGAUCUUGUCACAUCACAGAAGCUAAGUGAGGUUGGGCCUGGUUAGUACUUGGAUGGGAGACCGUUGGGAAUACCAGGUCCCACAGUGAAAC